rnacentral:rRNA from 1 species
CAAAUGAAUAGACGGGGACCCGCACAAGCAGUGGAGUAUGUGGUUUAAUUCGAGGCAACGCGAAGAACCUUACCAGGGAUUGACAUCCUGCGCUAGGCUUGGAGACAGGUUGUUCCUUCGGGACGCAGAGACAGGUGGUGCAUGGUUGUCGUCAGCUCGUGUCGUGAGAUGUUCGGUUAAGUCCGGCAACGAGCGCAACCCUUGUUGUCAGUUACCAUCAUUAAGUUGGGGACUUUGGCGAGACUGCCGUUGACAAAACGGAGGAAGGUGGGGAUGACGUCAAAUCAUCAUG